UCUCAGAAAAAACGAUAUCACCCUCUACCUUCGUUGCCUGCCAGGAUACGGAACCGCAUACACAGAAGUACGACGGAGAAUGAGGACGUAUGCAAAAAUAGCGUAACUCUCUUUAACAUCGCAACAUCAGUGCGGUGAUUUGGAAAGGGCUCAGAUCUUCUUCGAAAGAGUGAACGCUCUUUCAUUCGCUUUCAUUUGAAGAAGGAGCGAUCGAGUGUCUGGCGAGGAUGGGGAACCGCGGGAUGGAGGAUUUGAUUCCUCUGGUAAAUCGAAUGCAAGAUGCCUUUGCGGCCAUCGGACAAAAUGCCAACUUGGACCUUCCACAGAUUGCUGUCGUCGGCGGCCAGAGCGCAGGGAAGAGCUCCGUACUGGAGAACUUUGUAGGAAAGGAUUUCCUUCCCCGUGGUUCCGGGAUCGUCACCCGCCGUCCCCUGGUCCUGCAGCUCAUCAAUUGCCCCUCAGAAUAUGCUGAAUUCUUGCACUGCAAGGGGAAGAAGUUCACGGACUUCGAUGAGGUGCGUCAAGAGAUCGAGGCCGAGACAGAUCGCAUCACGGGCCAAAACAAAGGCAUCUCUCCUGUUCCCAUUAACCUGCGUGUCUACUCUCCUAACGUGCUGAACCUGACUCUGGUGGACCUUCCCGGGAUGACCAAGGUGCCGGUGGGUGACCAGCCAGCGGACAUUGAGCACCAGAUCAAAGACAUGCUUAUGCAGUUUGUGACCAAGGACAACUGCCUGCUUCUGGCCGUGUCUCCUGCCAACUCUGAUCUCGCCAACUCCGACGCCCUCAAGGUCGCCAAGGAGGUCGACCCUCAGGGUCUACGCACCAUUGGUGUAAUUACUAAACUGGAUUUAAUGGAUGAAGGCACAGAUGCCCGAGACAUUCUGGAGAACAAGCUGCUCCCUCUCCGCAGAGGCUACAUUGGUGUGGUGAACCGCAGUCAGAAGGACAUUGAUGGAAAGAAGGACAUCACCGCUGCUAUGGCGGCAGAGAGGAAGUUCUUCCUGUCUCAUCCUGCGUACAGACACCUGGCAGACCGAAUGGGAACCCCUUACCUGCAGAAGGUGCUGAACCAGCAACUGACAAACCACAUCCGAGACACACUGCCAGGCCUGCGCAGCAAGCUGCAGCAUCAGCUGCUGUCCAUUGAGAAGGAAGUGGAAGAAUACAAGAACUUCCGUCCUGAUGACCCGUCACGCAAGACCAAGGCGCUGUUGCAGAUGGUGCAGCAGUUCUCCGUGGACUUUGAGAAGCGCAUUGAGGGCUCCGGUGACCAGAUCGACACCUACGAGCUAUCAGGAGGAGCCAGAAUCAACCGCAUCUUCCACGAGCGCUUUCCCUUCGAGCUGGUCAAGAUGGAGUUUGAUGAAAAGGAGUUACGCAAGGAGAUCAGCUACGCCAUCAAGAACAUUCAUGGCAUCAGAACCGGGCUCUUCACACCGGACAUGGCCUUUGAGACCAUUGUGAAAAGGCAGAUCACGAAGAUUAAAGUGCCGUGCCAGAAAUGUGUGGACAUGGUCAUUUCUGAGCUGGUCAAUACGGUUAGGCAGUGUACCAAGAAGCUAGCCCAGUACCCCAUGUUGCGAGAAGAGAUGGAAAGAAUUGUCACACAGCACAUCCGUGACCGAGAAAGUCGCACCAAGGAGCAGGUGUUGCUGCUUAUUGAUAUUGAGCUGGCCUACAUGAAUACCAACCAUGAGGACUUCAUUGGAUUUGCCAAUGCCCAGCAGAGAAGCAGCCAGAUGAGCAAGAAGAAAGCACCUGGCAACCAGGAUGAGAUCAUGGUCAUCAGGAAGGGAUGGCUGACAAUCAACAACAUUGGCAUAAUGAAAGGCGGAGCCAAAGAGUACUGGUUUGUGCUGACGGCCGAAUCACUGUCCUGGUACAAGGAUGAUGAGGAGAAAGAGAAGAAGUACAUGUUGCAGGUGGACAAUCUGAAGCUGAGGGAUGUGGAGAAGAGCUUCAUGUCCAGCAAGCACAUCUUUGCCCUGUUCAACACAGAGCAGAGGAAUGUGUAUAAGGACUACCGUCAGCUGGAGUUGGCAUGUGAGAGUCAGGAGGAGGUGGAUGGUUGGAAGGCAUCUUUCCUGCGCGCGGGUGUCUACCCAGAGCGUGUGGUGGAGAAGGAGAAGGGUGAAGCAAGCGAGGAGAGCAGCUCAGAUGGCUUCAUGCACUCCAUGGACCCACAGCUGGAGAGGCAGGUGGAGACGAUCCGCAACCUAGUGGACUCCUACAUGGCCAUCGUCAACAAGACAAUCCGCGACCUCAUGCCCAAGACCAUCAUGCACCUGAUGAUCAACAACACUAAAGAGUUCAUCAACGCAGAGCUGCUGGCCCAGCUGUACUCCUGCGGGGACCAGAACACCCUGAUGGAGGAGUCGGCGGAGCAGGCCCAGCGCAGGGACGAGAUGCUGCGCAUGUACCACGCGCUCAGGGAGGCGCUCCACAUCAUCGGGGACAUCAGCACCUCCACCAUCUCCACCUCCCUGCCUCCACCUGUGGAUGACUCGUGGCUGCAAGUGCAGCGCACUGGCUCAGGGGGAAGGUCUCCGGCCGCCAGUCCCACUCCCCAGAGGCGGGCACCUCCUCCAGGACCCCCGGUUCGCCCUGCCUCCCGUGGGUCCGCGCCAGGACCACCAGGGGCAGGCGGGCCACCUGUGCCCUCUCGCCCUGGGGCCUCCCCAGACCCAUAUGGAGGACAGCCCCCUCAGGUGCCCUCCCGGCCUAACCGUGCCCCGCCCAGUGUACCCAGCCGAGGCGUGUGACACACCUGAAAGCGGAGCCAUGGGGAAUUGCUAUCAGUGACCAGUGAGGAGUGGCACUUGUGUGGUCCUUGAAGUCACAGGCCAGCAGACGACACCUGGCCUGAAUGCCGGCCUCACAAGGGCAGCCUGCCGUGUCCCGAGAGUCCUCUUCCUCCGUCUGACUCUUAAGCAGCCCGUCACAUCUUUUCACUUCUCUUCCUCUUUCUCUUCCAACUCCCUCCACAUUCACCAUCCAGUAACCAUAAACCAGAUCUCACCGGCGCAAUUGAACUUUGACACGCACACAUGCAGGGGCGAGCCAGUGGGUUGGGAGAGAGAUGCAGAGAUGGAAUCCUCUCCAGAUGCUGCCUCUCUUCCCCUCUAUACCCAUUUGAUGAUCUUCUGCGUUCUUCACAGUGGAAAAAAGAAGGAAUGUAAGCAGCAUGUUCUGGCAGAUGUAGACUGUUGGUUUUGCGGUUUUUCUCUUUUUGGUCUGCACCCAGACCCUCUGGGCUGCGCUAAUGGUCGACAGUUGUGCGUCACCAUCUGCUAAACAGUUUAGAUGAAUCAUCGUCUGAUCCUCUGAUACAAAUACAAGUGUCCACAUCUUACAAUAGUUAGAGCCUCUUCUCCUUACCUUACCAUGCAGCUAAACCCCUUUGUGGAGCUUUUGCUAGGAGUAUACGUUUGUUCUUCUGAUGUUCCUCAGAAGUCCCACCUUUCCAAGUAGCAAAAUAAUAUCUUCAGUGAGGCUGGAAUUAUAUAGGAAGUGCAAUAUAGCCAGGGGUCAGCUCUUUCAGUGGCUGGGCACCUUUCACCCCACACAACACACGACAGACCCGACAUCUCCGAAAGCAAAGGCAUGACCUUGCGCUUUUCUUUGGUUAAAUGUUGUUCUUCCUAAAUUUGUUUCGAUUGUGCAAGGCAGGAAUACAGGAAGACAGGGCUGAGGACCGCAGAAGCUCACCGUAGCCAUGUCUCUUAGCUACACCUAUUCUCUCUGUUCUAAAGUCAUAGGGAUGUGAAGCAGUUAGCAUCUAUCACAGAUGUUUUACCUACUCAGUCUUGUAUGAACAUCAUUUAUGCAAACUUAUCCCAAGUCAAAUUGUGCUUGUUUGUAAUUAAUAAGUGAAUCAGGUUUUAACAAGUGCAUCCAUUAAAAAAUAAAAUAAAUAAAUAAAAUUUAAUAUAUAUAUAUAUAUAUAUAUAUAUAUAUAUAUAUAUAUCUCACUGCUGGUCUAUGCAUACACAUCAUGGUCAUUUGGUCUAACUUGUUCUGUUUUUGUUGAUAAUACCAGCUGUGAAUAAAUCAGUGUGUGUAGUGAUUGUUGUAUUCAGUGGGCAUGCUUACAACCCCUGCGCCAUAGCCAGGCAAUGGUAACAUUUCUCCUUGGUUUCCUACAGACACAGGAUCUUUCACCUUUCACCUUUUCCUUAAGCAUAGUCUCUCAGUAAACGUGGUUAUGAAAAAAAAAAAUCUUAUUUAAGAGUAAACAGCUUAUGGACAUAACGUUAAAUGUGUUAUCUUUGUGGUGCUUUUCUGGAAGUUUGCUUCCACUAUCUAGAAAUUAGUUUACUCCACCUGUAGGAUUACAGAAUAUUAAAUUACAAGUGAAGAAAUUAAAUUAUGUGCAUGGGAGAAAGCAGUGCAUUACUGAGAGAGGGGAAGACGUUCUUGCUGUCAGUUCUUAAAUGUAUUCAGUGCGUGUGAUGUGUAGCAUGUACACACACACAAUUCAAGACUUUGUUUUGUGAGGAGGAAUGUGACUCAGUACAACCUGUAGCUUCUCCCACUCAGUGCAUGAGUCAGUUCUAACAACACUGACUUGUUCAGGACAAUAAAAUUCAGUGUACCAAAA